AGCGCAGGCGGUUCCUUAAGUCUGAUGUGAAAGCCCACGGCUCAACCGUGGAAGGUCAUUGGAAACUGGGGAACUUGAGUGCAGAAGAGGAGAGUGGAAUUCCAUGUGUAGCGGUGAAAUGCGUAGAUAUAUGGAGGAACACCAGUGGCGAAGGCGACUCUCUGGUCUGUAACUGACGCUGAGGCUCGAAAGCGUGGGAGCAAACA
rnacentral:rRNA from 1 species